AUUGAACGCUGGCGGCAGGCCUAACACAUGCAAGUCGAACGAGUGGCGGACGGGUGAGUAAUGUCUGGGAGACUGCCUGAUGGAGUGGGAUAACUACUGGAACCGGUAGCUAAUACCGCAUUCCAUCAGAUGUGCCCCGAUGGGAUUCGCUUGUUGGUGGGGUAACGGCUCACCAAGGCGACGAUCCCUAGCUGGUCUGAGAGGAUGACCAGACACACUGGAACUGAGACACGGUCCAGACUCCUACGGUAGGCAGCAGGGGGGAAUAGUGCACAAUUGGCGAAAGCCUGAUGCAGCCAUGCCGCGUGUAUGAGGAAGGCCUUCGGGUUGUAAAGUACUUUCAGCGGGGAGGCGUUACCCGCAGAAGAAGCACCGGCUAACUCCGUGCCAGCAGCCGCGGUAAUUC
rnacentral:rRNA from 1 species